rnacentral:rRNA from 2 species
UCCAGGCAAAUCCGGAUAAUCAAGGCUGAGGUGUGAUGACGAGGCACUACGGUGCUGAAGUAACAAAUGCCCUGCUUCCAGGAAAAGCCUCUAAGCAUCAGGUAACAUCAAAUCGUACCCCAAACCGACACAGGUGGUCAGGUAGAGAAUACCAAGGCGCUUGAGAGAACUCGGGUGAAGGAACUAGGCAAAAUGGUGCCGUAACUUCGGGAGAAGGCACGCUGGUGUGUAGGUGAAGUCCCUGCGGAUGGAGCUGAGACCAGUCGAAGAUACCAGCUGGCUGCAACUGUUUAUUAAAAACACAGCACUGUGCAAACACGAAAGUGGACGUAUACGGUGUGACGCCUGCCCGGUGCCGGAAGGUUAAUUGAUGGGGUUAUCCGUAAGGAGAAGCUCUUGAUCGAAGCCCCGGUAAACGGCGGCCGUAACUAUAACGGUCCUAAGGUAGCGAAAUUCCUUGUCGGGUAAGUUCCGACCUGCACGAAUGGCGUAAUGAUGGCCAGGCUGUCUCCACCCGAGACUCAGUGAAAUUGAACUCGCUGUGAAGAUGCAGUGUACCCGCGGCAAGACGGAAAGACCCCGUGAACCUUUACUAUAGCUUGACACUGAACAUUGAGCCUUGAUGUGUAGGAUAGGUGGGAGGCUUUGAAGCGUGGACGCCAGUCUGCGUGGAGCCAACCUUGAAAUACCACCCUUUAAUGUUUGAUGUUCUAACGUUGGCCCCUUACCGGGGUUGCGGACAGUGUCUGGUGGGUAGUUUGACUGGGGCGGUCUCCUCCCAAAGCGUAACGGAGGAGCACGAAGGUUAGCUAAUCCUGGUCGGACAUCAGGAGGUUAGUGCAAUGGCAUAAGCUAGCUUGACUGCGAGCGUGACGGCGCGAGCAGGUGCGAAAGCAGGUCAUAGUGAUCCGGUGGUUCUGAAUGGAAGGGCCAUCGCUCAACGGAUAAAAGGUACUCCGGGGAUAACAGGCUGAUACCGCCCAAGAGUUCAUAUCGACGGCGGUGUUUGGCACCUCGAUGUCGGCUCAUCACAUCCUGGGGCUGAAGUAGGUCCCAAGGGUAUGGCUGUUCGCCAUUUAAAGUGGUACGCGAGCUGGGUUUAGAACGUCGUGAGACAGUUCGGUCCCUAUCUGCCGUGGGCGCUGGAGAAUUGAGGGGGGCUGCUCCUAGUACGAGAGGACCGGAGUGGACGCAUCACUGGUGUUCGGGUUGUCAUGCCAAUGGCACUGCCCGGUAGCUAAAUGCGGAAGAGAUAAGUGCUGAAAGCAUCUAAGCACGAAACUUGCCCCGAGAUGAGUUCUCCCUGAGACUUUAAGUCUCCUGAAGGAACGUU